rnacentral:rRNA from 1 species
AUUCCUACGGGAGGCAGCAGUGGGGAAUUUUCCGCAAUGGGCGAAAGCCUGACGCAGCAACGCCGCGUGCGGGAUGAAGGCCUUCGGGUUGUAAACCGCUUUCAGCAGGGAUGAAACUGACAGUACCUGCAGAAGAAGCCCCGGCUAACUACGUGCCAGCAGCCGCGGUAAUAAU